UACACUCCUACGGGAGGCAGCAGUGGGGAAUUUUGGACAAUGGGCGAAAGCCUGAUCCAGCAAUGCCGCGUGAGUGAAGAAGGCCUUCGGGUUGUAAAGCUCUUUUGUCAGGGAAGAAACGGUGAAAGCUAAUAUCUUUUGCUAAUGACGGUACCUGAAGAAUAAGCACCGGCUAACUACGUGCCAGCAGCCGCGGUAAUACGUAGGGUGCAAGCGUUAAUCGGAAUUACUGGGCGUAAAGCGUGCGCAGGCGGUUUUGUAAGUCUGAUGUGAAAUCCCCGGGCUCAACCUGGGAAUUGCAUUGGAGACUGCAAGGCUAGAAUCUGGCAGAGGGGGGUAGAAUUCCACGUGUAGCAGUGAAAUGCGUAGAUAUGUGGAGGAACACCGAUGGCGAAGGCAGCCCCCUGGGUCAAGAUUGACGCUCAUGCACGAAAGCGUGGGGAGCAAACAGGAUUAGAUACCCCUGUAGUCCCA
rnacentral:rRNA from 1 species